UACAAUUGCAGCUGUGAAGAGGUUAUCGCUAUCGAUAAACUGGUUAUUUUGCAAAAACAGUGUAUUUUAGCUGUGAUGCGAACUUACAAAAUAUUGUGUUAAUAAAUUAUUUAAAGGUGAUUAUCUAAGAGUAUCUGUAUACAAAUAUUUUCUAAACAAUUUGAGUAUUAGGUUAAUAUAACAUUGAGCGGAAUAACAAUGAUUCUUCGUAUCGAGUCCAAGCUUGUGCUAGCUUAUAUUGUAUUAGUUAGUGGCAUUGAAGAAAGCGAGCGGUAUUUAGAAGCUCCAGAAGUGACAAGCGUGUCUUUGGCAGAACCAGAAGGCCUGUAUGUCCAGUGGUGGCCUGUGAGACAAAGGGACGAUGAUCCAGUCAUUGGGUACAAGAUAAGGCUUUGGGAAAUACCAGAAUCAUCAACAACUGAUAUUCAGUUGGUUGAUGCAUACAAGUAUCCGGGGACAGUGAAACACGAGGAAUCCUCUAAGUCAUUUUCUGUCAACAAUACGGAUCCAAUUUCCAGAGAAGAGAUCGUUGGGUCUGCGAACAAAGGUUUGAUGUCGGCUACAGUAAAAAUCAAAUAUAACACGAUUUACGAAGUUCGAGUAUUGGGCUUUAAGAAGGAUGUUGAUGGGCCUAUGUCUUUACCUACGAGGAUUAAGGUGGUGAAAGGGAGUGGCUAUCAGGUUGUUCUACAGAGGACAGUAACAGGUUGUCGGAUUACCGUCCCUUCGGAAGUACAACACGACAAUGACCCAUAUCCAUACGAACACAAUUUCAAUUUUUAAAACUGUGAUAGAAACACAACAAUAAAACUUGUAAAAUUUUAUUCAUCGA